AGACAAAGAUCGACAGCCACCCCUUGAACUCCUUUUAGGCAUUUUCUCCAUUUUUCUUACUAGUUUUGCAUAGUUCGGUCGAAGAAAUCGUUCUAUUGGAGGGUUAAUCGAGGGGUGAUCUGAUUCUCUGUCUGCCCCCUCAGGGGUGAUCUGAUUCUCUGUCCGCACCCUAAAUGGGUUGUCUGUGCGGAGUCCUCUCGAGGAUAAAAUCUGCAUCUCCAUCUGAUUCUAUAUCUGGUCUGAAAAUGAAAAUUUUAAAUUGCCAUACUUUGGUACUGGAACUGUGACAUCACCUAUUCGGCGGGUGGAUGAUCGGUGGAGGGUGUUACAUCGACGAUUGUUUGCAUAGCAAAAGAGCAGUUGAUUAUCAAUGGCGAAUUAUCCCAAGGCCGCUGCUGGAAACAGUGCUCAACAAUCACGUGCAGCACCACCACGUCCCUCAGCCUCUCAUCCUCCAUGCUCCCGGGGCGUUGGAAAAACCACCCUUAUACUUGAACGACUAAAAAAUCCAAAAAUAAAGUCAAGGAUCAAAAAGGU